rnacentral:rRNA from 1 species
AGGGGAAUAUUGGACAAUGGGCGAAAGCCUGAUCCAGCCAUGUCGCGUGUGUGAAGAAGGUCUUCGGAUUGUAAAGCACUUUAAGUUGGGAGGAAGGGCAGUAAGCGAAUACCUUGCUGUUUUGACGUUACCGACCGAAUAAGCACCGGCUAACUCUGUGCCAGCAGCCGCGGUAAUACAGAGGGUGCAAGCGUUAACCGGAAUUACUGGGCGUAAAGCGCGCGUAGGUGGUUCGUUAAGUUGAAUGUGAAAGCCCCGGGCUCAACCUGGUAACGACAUCCAAAACGGGCGAGCUAGAGUAGAGCAGAGGGUGGUUGAAUUUCCUGUGUAGCGGUGAAAUGCGUAGAUAUAGGAAGUAACACCAGUGGCGAAGGCGACCACCUGGGCUCAUACUGCCACUGAGGUGCGAAAGCGUGGGUAGCAAACAGG